rnacentral:rRNA from 1 species
AGUGAACGCUGGCGGCAGGCCUAAUACAUGCAAGUCGAACGGCAGCACAGCAGAGCUUGCUCUGUGGGUGGCGAGUGGCGGACGGGUGAGGAAUACAUGGGAAUCUGCCCAGUCGUGGGGGAUAACGUAUGGAAACGUACGCUAAUACCGCAUGCGCCCUACGGGGGAAAGUCGGGGACCGCAAGGCCUGACGCGAUUGGAUGAGCCCAUGUUCGAUUAGCUAGUUGGCGGGGUAAAGGCCCACCAAGGCGACGAUCGAUAGCUGGUCUGAGAGGAUGAUCAGCCACACUGGAACUGAGACACGGUCCAGACUCCUACGGGAGGCAGCAGUAGGGAAUAUUGGACAAUGGGGGCAACCCUGAUCCAGCCAUGCCGCGUGAGUGAAGAAGGCCCUCGGGUUGUAAAGCUCUUUUGUCCGGAAGAAAAGCAAUCGGUUAAUACCCGGUUGUUCUGACGGUACCGGAAGAAUAAGCACCGGC